rnacentral:lncRNA from 1 species
UACUCGUAUACGGACAGACCUGCCUGGAGACGAAUAGAGGAACAGUGUCUCGGUUCCUAAGAUUAUCGGAAAUAUGUGUUUUCCGAUAGUCUUAGACGACCUCUGUGAAAGGAUCAUUCGACCCCAAAGGGGUCGUGACCCACAGGUUGAGAACCACUGAUCUACACAGUCAGACAACGGGUCUUCAUAUAUCAAUUAUGUAAUGGCACUAAACAUUAAGUCAAUUAACAUAUGGUUUAACUGCAUUACUCCUAUACAGUUUUAAGAGGGUAAUAUACUUAGACUAUUAUUUCCAUAAAUUAAUAUAUAGAUUAAUUAUAUAUUUAACGUCUUGAGUACCUUUGUCAUCUAUAGACAUCAUGACCUAAUUACUGCCUGCAUGUCUGUGAUGUGGAUAGAUGUCAAAACAAAAUGAUAAAAAAAAACAAAAAAGGAAGGUUUAAAAAAUUUAAUCCUGAUUUUAUUAAUCCAGCA